UUGAUAAGGCUCUGAACUUGAUACUUAAAGAGCGUUUCCAACUGCAUUCAACUCUAUCGAAUAAAAGUUUGGCUGCGCAGGUACUGCUCAAGCAAUAUCCAGAAAAAUUUACCAAUUCUAUGAUGGCCCGAUGGAGCAUUUUUCUGUUGUUGAUUUGUGUUUUAAUAUUCGGUAAUGAGAGCGCUCCAGCUCAUGUUGACCCCGUCUCAACAGAUUUGUUUUUAAAUUCAGCAACUGUUGAAAAGGACAAAUCUGAGAUUCUGGAAGGACAGUCUGAAUUUGCACAGUUCCAAUAUAUCGGUGCCGAACAAGACAAUGUGAAUGGAGUCGAAGCUCUUAAUCGAAAAAAGAGAGGCAUAGGGAAAAAAAUUAAGAAAGCACUAAAAAAAGUUAAACAACAAGUUAAAAAAGUUGCUGACAAAAUUUGUCGCCUUCCUAUAUGUAGCGUACAAGUUACAAAGCGAUUUCGUUGAAUAAUGUAAUGUCAUAUGUCAUAAUACUUAUUAAAGUAAAUUUUACUAUGGUCAUAUCGGGUCAUAUAUAGUUGCACAAUUCUUGUUUUUAUCAA